GCCCUUCCUACGGGAGGCAGCAGUAGGGAAUUUUCGGCAAUGGGGGAAACCCUGACCGAGCAACGCCGCGUGAACGACGAAGUACUUCGGUAUGUAAAGUUCUUUUAAGAGGGAAGAAUGGCCCGUGGAAAAGCGGGCGUGACGGUACCUUUUGAAUAAGCCCCGGCUAACUAUGUGCCAGCAGCCGCGGUAAUACAUAGGGGGCAAGCGUUAUCCGGAAUUAUUGGGCGUAAAGGGUGCGUAGGUGGCUAUUUAAGUCUUUGGUGUAAGUUCAGCGCUCAACGCUGUGAUGCUAAAGAAACUGGGUGGCUUGAGUGUGGUAGAGGCAAGUGGAAUUCCAUGUGUAGCGGUAAAAUGCGUAAAUAUAUGGAGGAACACCGGUGGCGAAGGCGGCUUGCUGGGCCACAACUGACACUGAAGCACGAAAGCGUGGGGAGCAAACAGGAUUAGAUACCCUGGUAGUCCAUGCCGUAAACGAUGAGUACUAAGUGUAGGGGAAACUCUGUGCUGUAGUUAACGCAAUAAGUACUCCGCCUGAGUAGUACGACGCAAGUAUGAAACUCAAAGGAAUUGACGGAAGGGC
rnacentral:rRNA from 1 species